UACGUAGGGCGCAAGCGUUGUCCGGAAUUAUUAGGCGUAAAGAGCUCGUAGGCGGUCUGUUGCGUCUGCUGUGAAAACCCGGGGCUUAACCCCUGGCUUGCAGUGGAUACGGACAGACUAGAGGUAGGUAGGGGAGAAUGGAAUUCCCGGUGUAGCGGUGAAAUGCGCAGAUAUCGGGAGGAACACCGGUGGCGAAGGCGGUUCUCUGGGCCUUACCUGACGCUGAGGAGCGAAAGCGUGGGGAGCGAACAGG
rnacentral:rRNA from 1 species